AGUGAACGCUGGCGGUAGGCCUAACACAUGCAAGUCGAACGGCAGCACAGUAAGAGCUUGCUCUUACGGGUGGCGAGUGGCGGACGGGUGAGGAAUACAUCGGAAUCUACUUUUUCGUGGGGGAUCACGUAGGGAAACUUACGCUAAUAUCGCAUACGACCUACGGGUGAAAGCAGGGGAUCGUCGGACCUUGCGCGGUUGAAUGAGCCGAUGUCGGAUUAGCUAGUUGGCGGGGUAAAGGCCCACCAAGGCGAGGAUCCGUAGCUGGUGUGAGAGGAUGGUCGCCCACACUGGAACGGAGACGCGGUCCAGGCUCCUGCGAGAGGCAGCAGAGGGGAAUAUUGGGCAAUGGGCGCAAACCUUAUCCAGCCAUACCGCGUGGGUGAAGAAGGCCUUCGGGUCGUAAAGCCCUUUUGUUGGGAAAGAAAAGCAGCAGGUUAAUACCCCGCUGGUCUGACGGUACCCAAAGAAUAAGCACCGGCUAACUUCGUG
rnacentral:rRNA from 1 species